rnacentral:rRNA from 1 species
GUGUCUUCGAGUCGUUGAUUUCACACUGCCGAGAAAAGCCUCUAGAUAGAAAAUAGGUGCCCGUACCGCAAACCGACACAGGUAGUCAAGAUGAGAAUUCUAAGGUGAGCGAGCGAACUCUCGUUAAGGAACUCGGCAAAAUGACCCCGUAACUUCGGGAGAAGGGGUGCUCUUUAGGGUUAACGCCCAGAAGAGCCGCAGUGAAUAGGCCCAAGCGACUGUUUAUCAAAAACACAGGUCUCUGCUAAACCGUAAGGUGAUGUAUAGGGGCUGACGCCUGCCCGGUGCUGGAAGGUUAAGAGGAGUGGUUAGCUUCUGCGAAGCUACGAAUCGAAGCCCCAGUAAACGGCGGCCGUAACUAUAACGGUCCUAAGGUAGCGAAAUUCCUUGUCGGGUAAGUUCCGACCCGCACGAAAGGCGUAACGAUUUGGGCACUGUCUCAACGAGAGACUCGGUGAAAUCAUAGUACCUGUGAAGAUGCAGGUUACCCGCGACAGGACGGAAAGACCCCGUGGAGCUUUACUGUAGCCUGAUAUUGAAAUUCGGCACAGCUUGUACAGGAUAGGUAGGAGCCUUUGAAACGUGAGCGCUAGCUUACGUGGAGGCGCUGGUGGGAUACUACCCUAGCUGUGUUGGCUUUCUAACCCGCACCACUUAUCGUGGUGGGAGACAGUGUCAGGCGGGCAGUUUGACUGGGGCGGUCGCCUCCUAAAAGGUAACGGAGGCGCUCAAAGGUUCCCUCAGAAUGGUUGGAAAUCAUUCAUAGAGUGUAAAGGCAUAAGGGAGCUUGACUGCGAGACCUACAAGUCGAGCAGGGUCGAAAGACGGACUUAGUGAUCCGGUGGUUCCGCAUGGAAGGGCCAUCGCUCAACGGAUAAAAGCUACCCCGGGGAUAACAGGCUUAUCUCCCCCAAGAGUUCACAUCGACGGGGAGGUUUGGCACCUCGAUGUCGGCUCAUCGCAUCCUGGGGCUGUAGUCGGUCCCAAGGGUUGGGCUGUUCGCCCAUUAAAGCGGUACGCGAGCUGGGUUCAGAACGUCGUGAGACAGUUCGGUCCCUAUCCGUCGUGGGCGUAGGAAAUUUGAGAGGAGCUGUCCUUAGUACGAGAGGACCGGGAUGGACAUACCUCUGGUGUACCAGUUGUCGUGCCAACGGCAUAGCUGGGUAGCUAUGUGUGGACGGGAUAAGUGCUGAAAGCAUCUAAGCAUGAAGCCCCCCUCAAGAUGAGAUUUCCCAACUUCGGUUAUAAGAUCCCUCAAAGAUGAUGAGGUUAAUAGGUUCGAGGUGGAAGCAUGGUGACAUGUGGAGCUGACGAAUACUAAUCGAUCGAAGACUU